rnacentral:piRNA from 1 species
CAGUGUUUGUGGGCCCGUGGCAAU